ACGGAUCUAGAGUAGAUCUUUAGAGAAAACAGGAAAACCUCAAAAUGGCAUAGGGUUUCAGAGAAACCCUAGAAAAAUGAGAAAGGCCUGGUCCGAGUCGGAGAUGAACUCGCAAGGCUAGGACACGCCGGAGAUGAGCCGGAGAUAGCCAUAGAACCUGAAUCAGAGGGAUUAUGAGCCAGGGUCUUCAAGGUCAGACUUUGCUUCUUCAAGUAAAAGGAGCAUAAAGGCUCGUGGAGGUGAGUACAGGCCACCUAGGGCCUGAGACACCAUGGUUUCCGAAACCUGAAUCGAAGGGAUUUUGAUCCAAGGUUUUCAAGGUCAGACCUUGGGUGUUCGAGUAAAAGUAGCAUAAAGGCACGUGGGGGUGAGUACAUGCCACCUAGGGCCUGAGAUGCCAUGGUUUCCGGUGAGAUAAGGCGAAAAUCAGUGAAAAAGGGCUAGGGUUUCAGAGAAUAC
rnacentral:lncRNA from 1 species